ensembl:Y_RNA Y_RNA Y RNA
GGCUGGUCUGAUGGUAGUGGGUUAUCAGAACUUAUUAACAUUAGUGUCACUAAAGUUGGUAUACAACCCCCCACUGCUAAAUUUGACUGGCUUUUA